ACCGAGUACUCUGCUCAUUCCCUGUGAACCUAUCUGUUGCCUCGGCAGGGAGCUCUGCUAGGCGGCGGCCCCUGGGCCUCCGCACCUGCCAAGGCCUUCAUACCAUUCAGUAGUUAUCAGAGUAAGCUUGAACAAGCAAAACAACCAAAACUUUCAACAAUGGAUCUCUUGGUUCUGGCAUCGAUGAAGAACGCAGCGAAAUGCGAUAAAUAAUGUGAAUUGCAGACGUCCGUGAAUCAUUGAGUUUUUGAACGCACAUUGCGCCUAUUAGUACUCUAGUAGGCAUGCCUAUCCGAGCGUCGUGCUCUACUUCCAGCGGCAUCCUUGCGGUUGCCGCCGGGCGCUGGCGAUUGCUGGGAAGCCGAUCGCCGAAAUACAGUGGCUAGCGGGAAGGCAGCAUUCUACGUAGUAAAUCAAUCGUCUAAUCUGUCCUCCGGCUACGCCUGGCUCAAACAGUUGACCUCGGAUUAGGUGGGAAUACCCGCAUGAGACUUAA
rnacentral:rRNA from 1 species